UACGAAGGGUGCAAACGUUGCUCGGAAUCAUUGGGCGUAAAGCGCACGUAGGCGGCUCCGCAAGUCGGAUGUGAAAUCCCUCGGCUCAACCGAGGACGUGCAUCCGAAACUGCGAAGCUUGAGUACUGAAGAGGAUCGCGGAAUUCCCGGUGUAGAGGUGAAAUUCGUAGAUAUCGGGAGGAACACCAGUGGCGAAGGCGGCGAUCUGGGCAGUUACUGACGCUGAGGUGCGAAAGCGUGGGGAGCAAACAGGG
rnacentral:rRNA from 1 species